rnacentral:rRNA from 1 species
CCUACGGGCGGCUGCAGUGGGGAAUAUUGGACAAUGGGGGGAACCCUGAUCCAGCCAUGCCGCGUGUGUGAAGAAGGCCCUCGGGUUGUAAAGCACUUUCAGUGAGGAAGAACGCCUGGUGGUUAAUACCCAUCAGGAAAGACAUCACUCACAGAAGAAGCACCGGCUAACUCCGUGCCAGCAGCCGCGGUAAUACGGAGGGUGCGAGCGUUAAUCGGAAUUACUGGGCGUAAAGCGCGCGUAGGUGGCUUGAUAAGCCGGUUGUGAAAGCCCCGGGCUCAACCUGGGAACGGCAUCCGGAACUGUCAAGCUAGAGUGCAGGAGAGGAAGGUAGAAUUCCCGGUGUAGCGGUGAAAUGCGUAGAGAUCGGGAGGAAUACCAGUGGCGAAGGCGGCCUUCUGGACUGACACUGACACUGAGGUGCGAAAGCGUGGGUAGCAAACAGGAUUAGAUACCCUGGUAGUA